AUUGAACGCUGGCGGCAUGCCUUACACAUGCAAGUCGAACGGUAACAGGUCUUCGGAUGCUGACGAGUGGCGAACGGGUGAGUAAUACAUCGGAACGUGCCUAGUAGUGGGGGAUAACUACUCGAAAGAGUGGCUAAUACCGCAUGAGAUCUACGGAUGAAAGCAGGGGAUCGCAAGACCUUGUGCUACUAGAGCGGCCGAUGGCAGAUUAGGUAGUUGGUGGGAUAAAAGCUUACCAAGCCGACGAUCUGUAGCUGGUCUGAGAGGACGAUCAGCCCCACUGGGACGGAGACACGGACCAGACCCCUACGGGAGGCAGCAGCGGGGGAUUUUGGACAAUGGGCGCAAGCCUGAUCCAGCAAGGCCGCGUGCAGGAUGAAGGCCUUCGGGUUGUAAACUGCUUUUGUACGGAACGAAAAGCCCUGGGUUAAUACCCUGGGGUCAUGACGGUACCGUAAGAAUAAGCACCGGCUAACUACGUGCCAGCCGCCGCCGUAAAAC
rnacentral:rRNA from 1 species